GUCCUGCAGCCGUGCGUGUUAAUAGCUGUGUUUCUGGCCGAAUGCAGCGGUUAGUGAAUC
rnacentral:ncRNA from 1 species